CCUACGGGAGGCAGCAGUGGGGGAUAUUGCACAAUGGAGGGAACUCUGAUGCAGCGACGCCGCGUGAGGGAAGAAGGUUUUCGGAUUGUAAACCUCUGUCUUCGGUGACGAAACGAGAUGGUAGCCGCGGAGGAAGCCACGGCCAACUACGUGCCAGCAGCCGCGGUAAUACGUAGGUGGCAAGCGUUGUCCGGAAUUACUGGGUGUAAAGGGAGUGUAGGCGGAUGUGUAAGAUAGCGGUGAAAUGCCGGGGCUCAACCCCGGAACUGCCAUUAUGACUAUGUAACUAGAGUAAUGGAGAGGAUAGCGGAAUACCCAGUGUAGAGGUGAAAUUCGUAGAUAUUGGGUAGAACACCGGUGGCGAAGGCGGCUAUCUGGCCAUUUACUGACGCUGAGGCUCGAAAGCAUGGGGAUCAAACAGGAUUAGAUACCCUAGUAGUC
rnacentral:rRNA from 1 species